UACGUAGGGGGCUAGCGUUGUCCGGAUUUAUUGGGCGUAAAGAGCGUGUAGGCGGCCAGAAAAGUCCGCUGUGAAAACUCGAGGCUCAACUUCGAGCUGUCGGUGGAAACUUUCUGGCUAGAGUCCGGAAGAGGAGAAUGGAAUUCCUGGUGUAGCGGUGAAAUGCGCAGAUAUCAGGAAGAACACCCGUGGCGAAGGCGGUUCUCUGGGACGGUACUGACGCUGAGAAGCGAAAGCAUGGGGAGCGAACAGG
rnacentral:rRNA from 1 species